GCGACCCCAGGUCAGGCGGGACUACCCGCUGAGUUUAAGCAUAUAWAUAA
rnacentral:rRNA from 2 species